rnacentral:rRNA from 1 species
GACGAACGCUGGCGGCGUGCUUAACACAUGCAAGUCGAACGGAAAGGCCCUGCUUUUGUGGGGUGCUCGAGUGGCGAACGGGUGAGUAACACGUGAGUAACCUGCCCUUGACUUUGGGAUAACUUCAGGAAACUGGGGCUAAUACCGGAUAGGAGCUCCUGCUGCAUGGUGGGGGUUGGAAAGUUUCGGCGGUUGGGGAUUGACUCGCGGCUUAUCAGCUUGUUGGUGGGGUCGUGGCUUACCAAGGCUUUGACGGGUAGCCGGCCCGAGAGGGUGACCGGGACCCUUGCCAAUGUCCUACGGCCCGGAGCAGUGCGGGAUACAGCACUGGGGACGAGUGUCCGAUGCAGGCAAGUAGGGUGCAGGAUGGCCGCGCGAGGGGUGGCGACCUUCGGUUAGUAGGCAGUUUUGGCCUGUAUGCAUGCUCCUUUGUCUGUACCGGAUGAAUAAGCACCGGCUAACUCCGUG